UACGGGGGGGGUAAGCGUUGUUCGGAAUUACUGGGCGUAAAGGGCUCGUAGGCGGCCAACUAAGUCAGACGUGAAAUCCCUCAGCUUAACUGGGGAACUGCGUCUGAUACUGGAUGGCUUGGAUUCGGGAGAGGAAUGCGGAAUUCCAGGUGUAGCGGUGAAAUGCGUAGAUAUCUGGAGGAACACCGGUGGCGAAGGCGGCAUCCUGGACCGACACUGACGCUGAGGAGCGAAAGCCAGGGGAGCAAACGGG
rnacentral:rRNA from 1 species